UGCCACAGCCAUAUCACCCUUCAGCCCAAGAACGGUUACUCACUGAAGCUAAGCAGGGCUGAGCUUGGCUGUACCUAGAUGGAAGACCACAUAGGAAAACUAGGUUGCUGUUGGAA
ensembl:rRNA 5S_rRNA 5S ribosomal RNA